rnacentral:lncRNA from 1 species
GUUUAUGUAUUGACAUUAUGCUAUUUUUUACUCAAUGAAUGAAAUUAGAUUGUUCAUCAAUGUUCCUCUCUAUUUUCUUUAGCUUUUUCUUCUUUCUUUUGCUCGAAUUCAUUUGAUUCCUCAGCAAGCAUUGAGGCUUGUUGCACAAGACACUUGCCGAGUCUGUUAUUUCAGUUACAGCUCCAACAAUUGGUAUCUAGAGCCUAUUUCUUAAGGGAUCUGUUAUACAAAUCAAUGGCUUCAUCAAGCUUUUCACCAGCUGCACCUGAAGUCUUCAAUGGAGAAGGCUACCACAUAUGGGUGGUUAAAAUGAAAAC